rnacentral:rRNA from 1 species
UCGGGGCGACCGAUCGGUAGGGGAGUAUUCUCUAGGAGAUACAAGCCGUACGGAAACGAGCGGUGGCGGCCUAGAGAAGAGCGAAUGCAGGCAUGAGUAGCGAUAAGACAGGUGGGAAUCCUGUCCGCCGAAAACCCAAGGUUUCCUGCGCCACGUUAAUCGGCGCAGGGUGAGUCGGUACCUAAGGCGAGGCCGAAUGCCAUGGUUCCAGAGUGCAGCAGUGAGACCCCGGGGGAUGAGCUUCGGGGUCGAGAGGGAAACAGCCCAGACUGGCGGCUAAGGCCCCGAAUCCAUGCUCAGUGUAGAUAAGGAAGUGGAGUUGCUUGGACAGCUAGGAUGUUGGCUUAGAAGCAGCCAUCAUUUAAAGAAAGCGUAAUAGCUCACUGGUCGAGAGGUUCUGCGCCGAGAAUGAUCGGGACUCAAGCUUGCAACCGAAGCCGCGGCUUGAAGUGAACUGCUGUUUACUUCAGGGGUAGGGGAGCGUUCCAAGCGAGUGAAGGGCGACGGUAACGACGCCUCGACGCUCUGGAAGUGAUUAUGCCGGAAUAAGUAGCGUGAUAUGCAGGUGAAAAACCUGCACGCCGAAAGCCUAAGGUUUCCUGGGGAAGGUAAAUCCGCCCAGGGUUAGUCGGACCCUAAGUCGAGGCCGAAAGGCGUAGACGAUGGACAGCAGGUCAACAUUCCUGCACCGGGUGCUGCUGCGAUGGGGUGACGGAGAAGGUUAGGGUGGCUGCCUGUUGGAUGGUAGUUUAAGCCCGUAGGAAGAUCUCUUAGGCAAAUCCGGGAGGUUAAGACUGAGGCGUGACGACGAGUCUCCUUGUGAGACGAAGUGAUUGAUACCAAGCUUCCAGGAAAAGCCUCUAAGCUUCAGUCAUACGAAGACCGUACCGUAAUCGAACACACGUGGGCGGGAUGAGAAUUCUCAGGCGCUUGAGAGAACUCAGGAGAAGGAACUCGGCAAAUUGAUACCGUAACUUCGGGAGAAGGUAUUCCUCUGGUUGUUAGUGGCCUCGCGCCACGAAGCGCUACGCGAGUUGCAAUAAAGAGGGUCAAGCGACUGUUUACUAAAAACACAGGCCUCUGCGAACUCGUCAAGAGGACGUAUAGGGUCUGACGCCUGCCCGGUGCUGGAAGGUUAACCGGAGGAGUUAGCCGCAAGGCGACGCUUUGAAGGGAAGCCCCAGUAAACGGCGGCCGUAACUAUAACGGUCCUAAGGUAGCGAAAUUCCUUGUCGGGUAAGUUCCGACCUGCAUGAAUGGCGUAACGACUGGAGCGCUGUCUCGGGAAGUGACUCAGCGAAUUUGUUGUUCCGGUGAAGAAGCCGGGUGCCCGCAACUAGACGGAAAGACCCUGUGCACCUUUACUACAACUUGACAUUGGAUGUUGGAAGGGGC